CUUUGUCUGUUCCUAACUCCCUGCCUCCUGGCCUUGUGAUGUGGGCCUCUCAUCCUGAUAAGAAAGGUUACUGAUGCAUUGCUUCAGGACCAUGUUGUGUUGUUGAAGUAAUAGUUUAGCAUGGGGAAUGUACCUAGCAGGGAUAGGUGGUAGAUAAGGAAAGGGUUUGUCUAUUGGCUAAGGUUUCCGAUGCACGAGGGCAACAUGCUGUGCUAAAAGGUAUAUAAUCUUUGUAUAACCUGCAUUCGGGGUCCCCUUCUGACUAGCAGGGGGCACCACACUUGAACGUAAUAAACUUAAUAUCUUUGGGAACUUUGCAGUUGUGGACUUUGUUCGUGUGCCUCAGCCUAGACUCGAACUGCGCGUGACCUAUCAGGUAUAAUUCGCAACACAGCCCAGAGUGCUUCCC